UUCCCGUUCCCGUUCCCGGCUGAGCCCCUUUGCGGUUUGCUUUCCCGUCCCUGUCCGCGCACCCCUCGAUGUGCCCUCCACUCAAGCUCUCCAGCGCCUCAUGUCAGGUAGCAUAAAAAUGCCCUUUGUGAAAUAUCUCUUCAUAUGAUUGAAAAUAAAUAUAUUUGAGAACUCUGCCAUCCGUUUAGAGAUAUGUGGCCCAUAUAAGCAAAAUAGGAAGCAUGACCGGGAUGACCGGGUAAAUUAUUCGUAAUUUAUUGCUUUUCCGGAGUUUAAUUCAAGCAAAGCACAGGACUGGUGAGAACACGAUACCCCUUUCUCCCACAACUUUGAUCGUCCCAGGAACACAUUUUUCUGCUUCCCACACAGGAUAAAGGUGGCGAUGCUUUCCUCAUGACAGGGUCUUCUCCUACGGGAGCAUCUCAAAUGCAAAAUUAUGCAAGGCGGAUGAUGCGGAUGUCAGGAACUUCUGCUGGCGUUUCUCUCAGCUACUCAGGAUCCCGAGAUCUUGUCAAGAAAUUCCUGCUCGUCAGCAGGCUCCCUCCAAGCUAGAGGAGCCCUCGGGCGGAUCGGUGACAAAGGCCGCCAAAAGGAUUUUCCCCAUGACAGGGAAGAGGACUGCCCAUCUCUCACCCAUGAUCAGUACUGAUGUCGCCUCUGCCCUGUCCUGUUGUGUGCUCUCCAGAUUAACCUGAAGGUUGGUCCUUACUAUGAUGUCUGAGGAGAUUUUAAACUUUUAACUAUAUUUGUUACUGUGGGUUCUAUUGCUAUUUUAAUUCAAAUAAUUAUCUUAUAUAUUUCACUAAUGUGAGGAUAAAAAAAGAGGCCUGGGGACCAAAUAACACAGGUAAGGGCAAACAGAUUAAAUUUACUUCACAUAUAAAUUUAAAAAACACAUUUUAAAAUUGUAAUGAUUAUUUCAGAAGUUGUUAAUAGCUCUGGAUUAAUCCUUGUAUACUUAGUUUGGGAUAUUAUGAAGACCUUUGUUAGCCUAGAGGUGUAUUUUUAUUGCAUUUUGAAAA